UCUACAGUUCCGUUUCUAAUGAUCAGAGAAUGAAAUAAGUCAUUGCCUAAGGCUAUACCAAAAGAGAGAGAAGCCUUAACUACAUCAUCCUAAAUAGUGCUGAGACACACACACACUCUGUGGAAAAGCAAGUAUGUAAGACCUAGGACAGAAGCAAAUAGCUGAAAUAACUAGAAAGAAAUGGAGUUAAAUGUAUACAACAAGCACCAAGAAACAGGGUUGCAAUGCUUUGGGUGCUACUAUUGCUCAUACUUCUUGCUUCUCAGAACCCUUCCAUUCACAUUCUUGUGGAACUGAAGUUCAACUCCAAGAAAAAUCAAGGUGACUUCUUCGGUCUGGUUCAGGUACUGCUUUAUAUCUUUGUGGUACAGCCUACAAAGCUUGACUUCUGGUGGCUGGGAACUCUGUACUCCUC